CUUCUCUUCUGCCUCUUAGGAGUUCUACUAAUCAGGAAAGGUGUUAGAUGAUAACCGGGUGUCCCCUUUGCAGGAAGGGCCUCAGAGAAGGAGCAGUGAUGCCCACUUUCCUUUUUCAGGUCAGCAAGAAGUUGAGAGGUGAAGUUGGGCUCCUUUUUACCAACCGCACGAAGGAGGAGGUGAACGAGUGGUUCACAAAGUAUACAGAAAUGGAUUUUGCUCGAGCUGGGAACAAAGCAACUUUAACUGUGAGCCUGGAUCCAGGGCCCCUGGAGCAGUUCCCUCAUUCCAUGGAGCCACAGCUGAGGCAGCUAGGUCUGCCCACUGCCCUUAAGAAAGGUAGGUGCCUGGAGAGGUGCUUAGGGUUAAGAAUAAUGGUUGGUUUUCCACAGGCACCAGGUAUUUACUUGGUACCACAGUCAUACAUGCAGGCAAAACACCCCUACACAUAGAAUAAAUCUAGAAAUUGAAGAAAGGAAGGAGGUGGGUGGUGAUGGGGUAAGCCUUUAAUCCCAGCCCUCAGUAAGCAAAGACAAAUGGAACUCUGAGUUGACGACAGUCUGGUCUACAAUGUGAGUUCCAGAACAGACUAGGGUAAAUAGAGAAACCCCGUCUCAAAAAGGAGGGGGGAGGUGGGAAAGGAAAUACGAAGGUACAGGAAGUCCAGAAGGAAAAGGAGCUCAGCACCACCUUCCCCCAGGCUCUCCCCUCUGCCCAGCCACUUC
rnacentral:lncRNA from 1 species